rnacentral:rRNA from 1 species
AACGAACGCUGGCGGCAGGCUUAACACAUGCAGGUCGAGCGCCCCGCAAGGGGAGCGGCAGACGGGUGAGUAACGCGUGGGAAUCUACCCAUCUCUACGGAAUAACGCAUGGAAACGUGUGCUAAUACCGUAUACGUCCCUCGGGAGAAAGAUUUAUCGGAGAUGGAUGAGCCCGCGUUGGAUUAGCUAGUUGGUGGGGUAAAGGCCUACCAAGGCGACGAUCCAUAGCUGGUCUGAGAGGAUGAUCAGCCACACUGGGACUGAGACACGGCCCAGACUCCUACGGGAGGCAGCAGUGGGGAAUAUUGGGCAAUGGGCGCAAGCCUGAUCCAGCCAUGCCGCGUGAGUGAUGAAGGCCCUAGGGUUGUAAAGCUCUUUCACCGGUGAAGAUAAUGACGGUAACCGGAGAAGAAGCCCCGGCUAACUUCGUGCCAGCCGCCGCAGUAAGAC